GAUGAACGCUGGCGGCGUGCCUAAUACAUGCCAGUCGAGCGAACAGACGAGGAGCUUGCUCCUCUGACGUUAGCGGCGGACGGGUGAGUAACACGUGGAUAACCUACCUAUAAGACUGGGAUAACUUCGGGAAACCGGAGCUAAUACCGGAUAAUAUAUUGAACCGCAUGGUUCAAUAGUGAAAGACGGUUUUGCUGUCACUUAUAGAUGGAUCCGCGCCGCAUUAGCUAGUUGGUAAGGUAACGGCUUACCAAGGCAACGAUGCGUAGCCGACCUGAGAGGGUGAUCGGCCACACUGGAACUGAGACACGGUCCAGACUCCUACGGGAGGCAGCAGUAGGGAAUCUUCCGCAAUGGGCGAAAGCUUGACGGAGCAACGCCGCGUGAGUGAUGAAGGUCUUCGGAUCGUAAAACUCUGUUAUUAGGGAAGAACAAAUGUGUAAGUAACUAUGCACGUCUGGACGGUACCUAAUCAGAAAGCCACGGCUAACUACGU
rnacentral:rRNA from 1 species